GAUCGCCAGUGAUCAUUAUCAUCAAAAUUCAAAUCUUGUUAAUUAGUAGUUCUUAUGUAGUAGUUCAAUUUUCCAAAUACUUUUUUUGCUUUGAAACUUCUUAAUUUAUAUUUUGUAUUCGCGAUUAUUUCCAGAGUCUAAAUUAUUCAUGGCAGUCAACAAUUUCUACGAUUCAUUAAAUCUGCAAACUGUGGAAGGCACUGAAACUUUUAUAAAAUUGGAAAAAAAGUUGCGUGAUAAUCAUUGGUAUAAGCCUAUGUUGGACCAAGCAGAAGUCUCUCUAAAUGUGAACCGAGUCUAUCUUGUUUUGGGAGCAUCAUCAGUGUUCUUGGUUGGAUUAUUGCUUCAACACGGUGUUUCAUUAAUCAUGAGUGGAUUUGGCUUCAUCUAUCCUCUUUAUCAAACAUUUCAUUGCUUAGAACUGAAUAUCUCAUUGUUUGAGGGACUGUUAAGUCACCAACAAGUUUAAGGGUACAUCAGAGUAUGAAAGCUCUCUCUAGGACCGAAAUAAUAAGUGGUGUCACCAUUGUGAUAUGAGGGAAAAAAUUGGAGCAUCAAAACAGAUUUGUAGCCUUAGAAAAACCAAAUCCUUUAGUUGAGAAGAAGUGGUUGAUAUACUGGCUCAUUCAUGCUGCUUUGAAUUUUGCUGAAACAUUCAUUUUCUUCCUUCACUGGCUUCCAGGAUAUUGGAUAUUCAAGUGUGGCUUCUUGUAUUGGUGUUAUGCACCUCAGGAGAGAAAUGGCUCUGACAUUGUCUACGACUAUGCAAUUCGACCCUUCUUCCGUACAACAAACGAGGAACACCAGAAGACUGCGCCACAUUCCAUUUACACAGACAGCCUGGAAGCACUGUCCAGUUCUUGAGUAUCCUCAUCAUAUCAUUGCCAAAGAAUGUUCAUCUAAAGAAGGCUUCAGAAUUGUAUUUUACACUUGAAUUGUGUGUCGUUUUCUCAAAAUGUGUUCGUGAAUUGAAAUAAAAUAAUGAUUUUGUGAAGAA